GUCCUGCGGGAGGGAAACCAAGAUUCAGAAUUACCCACCUCCCCCUUCUUCGACUCUUCCGUCCUUGCAUUGGAGGGGUGUGUCUAUACCUUACAGGUGGCGUGCAAAGCUAAAGGACAGAAGAAGGCAACAGAUGAAUAACUGCAAGUUUUUACAUUUGGGUUAACAUGACCCUCCACUGGCUUAAAAUAGAAAGCUGCCAUCUCUUCCAGGCUGGUCCAGUUCAGUAGAAGGAAAUGAUCUCAUCUUUUUACUUUUUAUCAUCUGACUCCUGCCUCAAGACAGCAAACCCUGUGACGAUAAAGAUCCUGCCUGCCUUGCUCAGAGCUACAUCGACGGGUCUUGACACAAUGCAAAGGG